rnacentral:rRNA from 1 species
AUGAUUCAAAAGUGCCCUUUGGGAGAUGCAUAUGUGCAAGUUGAUUCUGUAGCGGACAGAGAUUGGUUAGUCAACCGCAGUCCGCAUAACUUUCAGAAUCAUCAGAUCAGUUUUGUAAAGCACAAUGAAGGUAUUAACCACAGAAAUUUUCAGUACAAUCAGGUUUGUUGGUUAGCACUGCUUGCUUUUCCUGUCGAUCUGUGGGACUUACAGCACAUUAGAGGAGUGGUAGAAGAUUUUGCUCAUGUUGAUAUGUGGGACAAGAUGGCAAGUGACUAUUCUAAAGUGGUUAUUAAGGUUCUAGUUGCUGAUGUGGCUCUAAUCCCUCACAGUUGCAUUGUGACUGCUGGCAAUAAACAUGCAGCGGAAUCUUGGACAGUUCCAAUAGUCAUUCUAGAGCAUCAUUUGUUGGGUGGCCUACCUCCUGAUGAAGAUGACGUUCCACCCAAUGGUGGGAAUUUGCAUCCCCUCCCAGUCGUUCAGCCAGGACCUGUGCCACCUCCUGGCUUGGACAUCUGGCCUGAUUGGGAAGAACAGAUUCAUCAGCAACCUUUUCACCAGGAGGAUCUCAAUGACCAUGUCCGGGUUCCUAUACCCCAUGCGAAUCAGCUCGGACAGAACUUUAAUCAUAUCUUUGCGGCUCCUGGACUCAAUCUGAUGGCUGAUCAAGAGGAUUUCGCUAAUCACCAUCAACUGAAUGCAGAAGAUUUUGCGGACCUGCAGGAACCGAUGAAUCCUAUCAUUCAGAAUCAGCCUCUCGCCAAUGAUCAGGAUGUGGGUCACAUGGAAAACUUGGACCUUAAUUUACCUGUUGAAGAUAAUGAUAGUGAGUUAACUGUCACCUUCAGCUCUGAACCUGACAAUUCCUCACAGGACUCUGCUAACAAUGGUGGUCCUCUAGAUCUGAACAUGGAGGUUAAUGUUAUGCAUGAUCUUGAUCAGCAGGAAAUUGUUGGGCCCAUCCAGCAGCCUAAUGGAUAG